UCCAUGCAUGGAGCCCAGUGUGGGAUUCGUUCCUGGGACUCUGGGAUCACGCCCUGAGCCAAAGGCAGAUGCUCAACUGCUGAGCCACCUAGGCAUCCCUCAUAUUUUAUUAUUUUAACUUCUUACAGCUCUCGAAAGAAUGUGGCAAGAAAUGAAGGUGGGAAAGAAUCAAGACGCUCUGGAAAUAACAGACUCCUAACUCUCACUCAAGUUAGCCAGCAAAGAGAGGCUGCUCCAAUCUGGCCGUGGAGACGUGAGGGAGGAUCAUGGGGAGACAGUUGUAUGGAGUCCAGUGUGGGAUGAAUCCAUCAACAGAAGGAAGAGAACAGCCUCCUUGCCUUGCCAGGUCGGAUUGCAGAUUGGGAGAGCUCUUCACAUACCAUAUUCAAAAAGCAUCUGUCACCCAGUAGCCAUGGCAACAGACAUCCCUGAAUAGAUGUGGAGAGAUGUUUUUGGAAUGGAGCUGGAAAAGGAAAUGGACAUAACAGCUUCUGGGUAAGGGGUGAGACUUUCUGGUCCACCUGUGAGUUGAAGGCCUCAUCUUUCUUUCCUACUUCCCAGCCCUUCUCAUUUUGCACAGCCAUUGGGUUAUUUUUUCUGAAGAAGUAGCCUCUAGAGUUAGUGCUUUUCCAAUGGACUGGACAGGGAGAGGAGAUGGGGAAU
rnacentral:lncRNA from 12 species